GUUUUUUGGGGUUUUUUUUGGAGACAGAGUCUCGCUCUGUCACCCAGGCUGGAGUGCAGUGGCGCGAUCUCAGCUCACUGCAAGCUCCACCUCCGGGUUCACGCCGUUCUCCUGCCUUAGCCUCCUGAGUAGCUGGGACUACAGGCACCUGCCACCACAUCCAGCUAAUUUUUUGUAUUUUUAGUAGAGAUGGGGUUUCACUGUGUUAGCCAGGAUAGUCUCGAUCUCCUGACCUCGUGAUCCUCCUGUCAUGGUCUCCCAAAGUGCUGGGAUUACAGGCAUGAGCCACCACACCUGGCCGAAUUUUUAUAUUUUUUAGUAGAGAUGCAGUUUUGCCAUGUUGGCCAGGCUGAUCUUGAACUCCUGACUUCAAGUGAUCCGCCCGCCUCAGCCUCCCAAAGUGCUGAGAUUACAGGCAUGAGCCACUACAUCUGGCCGGAAUUCAAAUUUCAUCUAAACUCUUACUAACCUGGAGACCAUGGGCAAAUGGUUUAACUUGAUCUGAGCCUCCAUUUCCUCCUCAUCUAUUACAUAGGGAUUCAGUAAAUUCUUUCAGCAACUACCCUAUCAGAAAUCACCAGUCUUCCACGCAACAUUUUCCAUUCCUCUUCCCUGUUUUAUAUUUCUCCAUGGAUCUUACCAUAAUUUAACAUACUAUAUGGUGAACUUACUAGUUCUUUCUCCUCCUCCCUCUAGAAUGUGAUUUCCAUGAAGGUGGGAAUUUUUGUCUAUUUUGUUCAUUGUCUGGCAUGUAGUAGGUACUCAAUAAAUAUUUGUCUGAUGAGUAAACAAACUUCCUGUAGGGUGGUUGUGAAGUUAGAAUGGGAGCUUUUUAUUUUAUUUGUUUGAGACAGUCGUACCUUGUCACCCAGGCUGGAGUGUGGUGGUGCAGACAUGGCUCACUGCAAGCACCCAACUCCUGGGCUCAAGCAAUCCUCCCACUUUAGCCUUCUGAGUAGCUAGGACCACAGGCCCAUGGUGCCACACCUGGCUAAUUUUUAAAAAAUUGUAUUGUAGAGAUGGGGUCUCCCUAUGUUGCUCAGGCUGGUCUUGAACUCCUGGCUUAAGCAAUCCUCCCACCUUGGCCUCCAAAGUGCUAGGGUUAUAGGCAUAAGCCAUGGUGCCCAGUCUUGAAUGAAAGCUUUUAGAGCACUUAUUUUGGCACUUGGCAUGUUUUCUUUGGCUCUAAGGAAGAUAAUACAAGUCUUAUUUAUAUAACUGAUUAAUGUGUAAAGUGUCUUGCUACACAUUGCUCAGUUAUAUCAGAAUGGAAGUAUGGAUAUUAGAUGCUUAUAAAGUUUUAAAAUGAAAUAGGCUGGGCACAGUGACUCAUUCCUGUAAUGCCAGCACUUGGGGAGGCCAAAUUAGGAGGAUUGCCUGAGGCCAGGAGUUCGAGACCAGUCUGGGCAACAUAGUGAGACCAUAUCUCUACCAAAAAAAAAAAAAAAAA
rnacentral:lncRNA from 1 species